UAAGGCUGUCCGCCGUAGCAACCACUGAAUAAUUGCAUUCUGUGUAGCAACUAGCAACUAGCAUUUGCUUUUUUGUGAUUUUGUAAUGAAAUAAAUGUGACUCGGUAAUUGGAAUUUGUAAUUUGGAUGAGUACUCUCAAAUUUGUACAUGCAAUUGUCUGCAAGUAACAGAGUGAACGAUUUUAAAGAACGCAAACAUUUUGGACUUGAAUUCGUUUUACAUUUAUAGAAAAAAAAUUGGCAAUCGGUAAACUACAAAACAAAAAUGUCUGUAAUGUUUUCAUUCGUUUCGAUGGAUCAUUUGUACAUAAAAGCAUAUUUCUAGUGACUAAGGAAAAUUAAAAGUUGAAUAGUUAGUUGUGACACAAUAUCAACAAAGAUCUGAGAAUAUACUUAACAAUCUUUUUACUUUCUAUUUCAUAAGAUGUUUAUAUUUAUGAUGAUGACCUGUGGGGUACAACAGGUCUACCAAUUGUAAUCUAAUAUUGUGAAUUUAGGUAUUAUAUUAAUAUACUAUUAGUUACCGCUAAAAAUGUCUGUGGAGCCACAAGUUGAGUGAAAAGUAGUAGAAGAUGAAGUAUCUUACUUAUCACUCAAAUGUCGCCAGGAAGAGCAGUUGAUUGACACAAAUGUCACUAAAGUUUUCAAUAAGAACUUGGAUAUUAAGUUAUUGAUUAGGAGGUUGUAAUAUGCUUGCUGGUAAAGUUAUAUAUUAGCAUAUGUUAUUUUAUGUCGAUUCAUACAAAAUCUGCAGGGAAACAAGAUAAAAAAAUCCAGCUUACAAUUCAAUUGAUUUAACUUUUUACCACUUUUUUAUUAUUUAUGAAUUAUGUUUUAAGAAUUUUUUAUUAAGAGCUUUGGUUGAUGUUAAACUUGA